ACGCAUUAGAAGAGGGGGAUACCUCUUCACGUCCUGAGGUGACUGCUGGUAAUACUAUUGGUAAGACACACUCUUUAUUUACAUUGAUUUGAGAUCUUAAUUAAAUUUGUUCACAUACUAUUUCAAUAUUAUGGCUUCACAAUAUCAGCUGCUAAGCGUGCUCGUGGCCCGACUCGAGGCAAAGAGGUUCAAGGCCUUGUUGAUAGAGAUGGAAAGCUUAGCGUGCCUAUCCCUCCAGAAUUUCGUGCACCGGUAGGGGACUAUGCCUCAAAACUAGCCUCAAAGAUUGGUGUAGAAGUGUGAACUCGUUUACCAGAUCCAAGUGUUCGUAGGUGGAAGUAUGUUGAUGCCUCCGUUAAGGAGGCGAUGUUUCAACGCUUGAAUGAUCAAUUUGAUUUACAAGGAGACCCUGUUGAUAUAGAGAAGGCAAUGAACACAAAAUUUGGUCGGAGAUUGAGUAACCAUACCUAUAGGUUGCACAAACAAUUCAUGGAGCUGAAGGAGGUUAAAGGGG